GGGUUGUGAGGUUAAGCGACUAAGCGUACACGGUGGAUGCCCUGGCAGUCAGAGGCGAUGAAGGACGUGCUAAUCUGCGAUAAGCGUCGGUAAGGUGAUAUGAACCGUUAUAACCGGCGAUUUCCGAAUGGGGAAACCCAGUGUGAUUCGUCACACUAUCAUUAACUGAAUCCAUAGGUUAAUGAGGCGAACCGGGGGAACUGAAACAUCUAAGUACCCCGAGGAAAAGAAAUCAACCGAGAUUCCCCCAGUAGCGGCGAGCGAACGGGGAGCAGCCCAGAGCCUGAAUCAGUGUGUGUGUUAGUGGAAGCGUCUGGAAAGGCGCGCGAUACAGGGUGACAGCCCCGUACACAAAAAUGCACAUGCUGUGAGCUCGAUGAGUAGGGCGGGACACGUGGUAUCCUGUCUGAAUAUGGGGGGACCAUCCUCCAAGGCUAAAUACUCCUGACUGACCGAUAGUGAACCAGUACCGUGAGGGAAAGGCGAAAAGAACCCCGGCGAGGGGAGUGAAAAAGAACCUGAAACCGUGUACGUACAAGCAGUGGGAGCCUCUUUAUGGGGUGACUGCGUACCUUUUGUAUAAUGGGUCAGCGACUUAUAUUCUGUAGCAAGGUUAACCGAAUAGGGGAGCCGAAGGGAAACCGAGUCUUAACUGGGCGUUAAGUUGCAGGGUAUAGACCCGAAACCCGGUGAUCUAGCCAUGGGCAGGUUGAAGGUUGGGUAACACUAACUGGAGGACCGAACCGACUAAUGUUGAAAAAUUAGCGGAUGACUUGUGGCUGGGGGUGAAAGGCCAAUCAAACCGGGAGAUAGCUGGUUCUCCCCGAAAGCUAUUUAGGUAGCGCCUCGUGAAUUCAUCUCCGGGGGUAGAGCACUGUUUCGGCAAGGGGGUCAUCCCGACUUACCAACCCGAUGCAAACUGCGAAUACCGGAGAAUGUUAUCACGGGAGACACACGGCGGGUGCUAACGUCCGUCGUGAAGAGGGAAACAACCCAGACCGCCAGCUAAGGUCCCAAAGUCAUGGUUAAGUGGGAAACGAUGUGGGAAGGCCCAGACAGCCAGGAUGUUGGCUUAGAAGCAGCCAUCAUUUAAAGAAAGCGUAAUAGCUCACUGGUCGAGUCGGCCUGCGCGGAAGAUGUAACGGGGCUAAACCAUGCACCGAAGCUGCGGCAGCGACGCUUAUGCGUUGUUGGGUAGGGGAGCGUUCUGUAAGCCUGCGAAGGUGUACUGUGAGGUAUGCUGGAGGUAUCAGAAGUGCGAAUGCUGACAUAAGUAACGAUAAAGCGGGUGAAAAGCCCGCUCGCCGGAAGACCAAGGGUUCCUGUCCAACGUUAAUCGGGGCAGGGUGAGUCGACCCCUAAGGCGAGGCCGAAAGGCGUAGUCGAUGGGAAACAGGUUAAUAUUCCUGUACUUGGUGUUACUGCGAAGGGGGGACGGAGAAGGCUAUGUUGGCCGGGCGACGGUUGUCCCGGUUUAAGCGUGUAGGCUGGUUUUCCAGGCAAAUCCGGAAAAUCAAGGCUGAGGCGUGAUGACGAGGCACUACGGUGCUGAAGCAACAAAUGCCCUGCUUCCAGGAAAAGCCUCUAAGCAUCAGGUAACAUCAAAUCGUACCCCAAACCGACACAGGUGGUCAGGUAGAGAAUACCAAGGCGCUUGAGAGAACUCGGGUGAAGGAACUAGGCAAAAUGGUGCCGUAACUUCGGGAGAAGGCACGCUGAUACGUAGGUGAAGUCCCUUGCGGAUGGAGCUGAAAUCAGUCGAAGAUACCAGCUGGCUGCAACUGUUUAUUAAAAACACAGCACUGUGCAAACACGAAAGUGGACGUAUACGGUGUGACGCCUGCCCGGUGCCGGAAGGUUAAUUGAUGGGGUUAGCGGUAACGCGAAGCUCUUGAUCGAAGCCCCGGUAAACGGCGGCCGUAACUAUAACGGUCCUAAGGUAGCGAAAUUCCUUGUCGGGUAAGUUCCGACCUGCACGAAUGGCGUAAUGAUGGCCAGGCUGUCUCCACCCGAGACUCAGUGAAAUUGAACUCGCUGUGAAGAUGCAGUGUACCCGCGGCAAGACGGAAAGACCCCGUGAACCUUUACUAUAGCUUGACACUGAACAUUGAGCCUUGAUGUGUAGGAUAGGUGGGAGGCUUUGAAGUGUGGACGCCAGUCUGCAUGGAGCCGACCUUGAAAUACCACCCUUUAAUGUUUGAUGUUCUAACGUUGGCCCCUAAUCGGGGUUGCGGACAGUGUCUGGUGGGUAGUUUGACUGGGGCGGUCUCCUCCUAAAGAGUAACGGAGGAGCACGAAGGUUGGCUAAUCCUGGUCGGACAUCAGGAGGUUAGUGCAAUGGCAUAAGCCAGCUUGACUGCGAGCGUGACGGCGCGAGCAGGUGCGAAAGCAGGUCAUAGUGAUCCGGUGGUUCUGAAUGGAAGGGCCAUCGCUCAACGGAUAAAAGGUACUCCGGGGAUAACAGGCUGAUACCGCCCAAGAGUUCAUAUCGACGGCGGUGUUUGGCACCUCGAUGUCGGCUCAUCACAUCCUGGGGCUGAAGUAGGUCCCAAGGGUAUGGCUGUUCGCCAUUUAAAGUGGUACGCGAGCUGGGUUUAGAACGUCGUGAGACAGUUCGGUCCCUAUCUGCCGUGGGCGCUGGAGAACUGAGGGGGGCUGCUCCUAGUACGAGAGGACCGGAGUGGACGCAUCACUGGUGUUCGGGUUGUCAUGCCAAUGGCACUGCCCGGUAGCUAAAUGCGGAAGAGAUAAGUGCUGAAAGCAUCUAAGCACGAAACUUGCCCCGAGAUGAGUUCUCCCUGACUCCUUGAGAGUCCUGAAGGAACGUUGAAGACGACGACGUUGAUAGGCCGGGUGUGUAAGCGCAGCGAUGCGUUGAGCUAACCGGUACUAAUGAACCGUGAGGCUUAACCUUACAACGCCGAAG
rnacentral:rRNA from 1 species